UACGUAGGGUGCGAGCGUUGUCCGGAAUUAUUGGGCGUAAAGAGCUCGUAGGCGGCUUGUUGCGUCGGAUGUGAAAGCCCGGGGCUUAACUCCGGGUCUGCAUUCGAUACGGGCAGGCUAGAGUUCGGUAGGGGAGAUCGGAAUUCCUGGUGUAGCGGUGAAAUGCGCAGAUAUCAGGAGGAACACCGGUGGCGAAGGCGGGUCUCUGGGCCGAUACUGACGCUGAGGAGCGAAAGCGUGGGGAGCGAACAGG
rnacentral:rRNA from 1 species